rnacentral:lncRNA from 1 species
UUUGCUUUAUGGGCCAAAGAUAUUCAUUUGUAUCAACAGUUGGUCAUGUUCAUCUCAACACUUGUCCAUCUUUGCACUACGGGCCAAAGAUAUUCAUCAGGUAAUCAUUCAUCUUUGCACUACAAGCUAAAGAUAUUCAUCAAGUAUCACCAUUAAAGACUGAGGAUGAUGAAAAAUAUUUUCAAGAACGAAUCAAUUGAG